UAGGGAAUCUUCCGCAAUGGACGCAAGUCUGACGGAGCAACGCCGCGUGAGUGAAGAAGGAUUUCGGUUCGUAAAACUCUGUUGUUAGAGAAGAACAGCGCAUAGAGUAACUGUUAUGCGUGUGACGGUAUCUAACCAGAAAGCCACGGCUAACUACGUGCCAGCAGCCGCGGUAAUACGUAGGUGGCAAGCGUUGUCCGGAUUUAUUGGGCGUAAAGCGAGCGCAGGCGGUCAAUUAAGUCUGAUGUGAAAGCCCCCGGCUCAACCGGGGAGGGUCAUUGGAAACAGGUUGAGUUGAGUGCAGAAGAGGAGAGUGGAAUUCCAUGUGUAGCGGUAAAAUGCGUAGAUAUAUGGAGAAACACCAGUGGCGAAGACGACUCUCAGGUUUGUAACUAACACUGAGGUUCGAAAGCGUGGGUAGCAAACAGG
rnacentral:rRNA from 1 species